rnacentral:rRNA from 1 species
UACGGGGGGGGCAAGCGUUGUUCGGAAUUACUGGGCGUAAAGGGCUCGUAGGUGGCCAACUAAGUCAGACGUGAAAUCCCCAGGCUCAACUUGGGAACUGCGUCUGAUACUGGAUGGCUUGAAUUCGGGAGAGGGAUGCAGAAUUCCAGGUGUAGCGGUGAAAUGCGUAGAUAUCUGGAGGAAUACCGGUGGCGAAGGCGCUCACUGGCCCGAUACUGACGCUGAGGAGCGAAAGCCAGGGGAGCAAACGGGG